rnacentral:rRNA from 1 species
GAUGAACGCUGGCGGCGUGCCUAAUACAUGCAAGUCGAGCGAACAGAUGAGGAGCUUGCUCCUCUGACGUUAGCGGCGGACGGGUGAGUAACACGUGGAUAACCUACCUAUAAGACUGGGAUAACUUCGGGAAACCGGAGCUAAUACCGGAUAAUAUAUUGAACCGCAUGGUUCAAUAGUGAAAGACGGUUUUGCUGUCACUUAUAGAUGGAUCCGCGCCGCAUUAGCUAGUUGGUAAGGUAACGGCUUACCAAGGCAACGAUGCGUAGCCGACCUGAGAGGGGGAUCGGCCACACUGGAACUAAGACACGGUCCAGUCUCCUAAGGGAGGCAGCAGUAGGGAAUCUUCCGCAAUGGGCGAAAGCCUGACGGAGCAACGCCGCGUGAGUGAUGAAGGUCUUCGGAUCGUAAAACUCUGUUAUUAGGGAAGAACAAAUGUGUAAGUAACUAUGCACGUCUUGACGGUACCUAAUCAGAAAGCCACGGCUAACUACGU